rnacentral:rRNA from 1 species
AUUGAACGCUGGCGGCAUGCUUUACACAUGCAAGUCGAACGGUAACAGGCCGCAAGGUGCUGACGAGUGGCGAACGGGUGAGUAAUGCAUCGGAACGUGCCCAGUCGUGGGGGAUAACGCAGCGAAAGCUGCGCUAAUACCGCAUACGAUCUAUGGAUGAAAGCGGGGGACCGUAAGGCCUCGCGCGAUUGGAGCGGCCGAUGUCAGAUUAGGUAGUUGGUGAGGUAAAGGCUCACCAAGCCAACGAUCUGUAGCUGGUCUGAGAGGACGACCAGCCACACUGGGACUGAGACACGGCCCAGACUCCUACGGGAGGCAGCAGUGGGGAAUUUUGGACAAUGGGCGCAAGCCUGUUCCAGCAAUGCCGCGUGCAGGAAGAAGGCCUUCGGGUUGUAAACUGCUUUUGUACGGAACGAAACGGUCCGGGUUAAUACCCUGGGCUAAUGACGGUACCGUAAGAAUAAGCACCGGCUAACUACGUGCCAGCAGCCGCGGUAA